rnacentral:rRNA from 1 species
GCCCCCCCCUUCCCGGGGGGGUGGCCAGCGCCCGCCAGAGGACCAUCAAACUCCAGUCAGUAAACGAUGCAGUCUGAAAAACAUUUAAUAAACUAAAACUUUCAACAACGGAUCUCUUGGUUCUGGCAUCGAUGAAGAACGCAGCGAAAUGCGAUAAGUAAUGUGAAUUGCAGAAUUCAGUGAAUCAUCGAAUCUUUGAACGCACAUUGCGCCCUUUGGUAUUCCGAAGGGCAUGCCUGUUCGAGCGUCAUUACAACCCUCAAGCUCUGCUUGGUAUUGGGCACCGUCCUUUGCGGGCGCGCCUCAAAGACCUCGGCGGUGGCGUCUUGCCUCAAGCGUAGUAGAACAUACAUCUCGCUUCGGAGCGCAGGGCGUCGCCCGCCGGACGAACCUUCUGAACUUUUCUCAAGGUGACCUCGGAUCAGGUAC